CUAAUCUUGGGCUGAAACAACUUUCCUGAACAGGUUAUGUGGGUCAUGAAUUUAUUUUGGACACGAGACCCUUCAAAAAGUCUGCAAAUAUUGAGGCUGUGGAUGUGGCCAAGAGACUCCAGGAUUAUGGAUUUCACGCCCCUACCAUGUCCUGGCCUGUGGCAGGGACCCUCAUGGUUGAGCCCACUGAGUCGGAGGACAAGGCAGAGCUGGACAGAUUCUGUGAUGCCAUGAUCAGCAUUCGGCAGGAAAUUGCUGACAUUGAGGAGGGCCGCAUCGACCCCAGGGUCAAUCCGCUGAAGGUGCGUAGGCCCUGGAACUUUGUUUGAAAUGUUCCUUAAACUAGAAAAUGAUGUCUGGACAGUGUACCAGCAACUCCUGAACUCUCAACUGAGGAUGAUACUCUUCCCUAGAAUAAGAUGUCUCCACACUCCCUGACCUGCGUUACAUCUUCCUGCUGGGACCGGCCUUAUUCCAGAGAGGUGGCAGCAUUCCCACUCCCCUUCGUGAAACCAGAGAACAAAUUCUGGCCAACGAUUGCCCGGAUUGAUGACAUAUAUGGAGAUCAGCACCUGGUUUGUACCUGCCCACCCAUGGAAGUUUAUGAGUCUCCAUUUUCUGAACAAAAGAGGGCCUCUUCUUAGUCCUCUCUCCCUAAGUUUAGAGGACUGAUUUGAUGCCUCUCCCGAGAGCAUUUGAUAAGCAAGAAAGAUUUCAUCUCCCACCCCAGCCUCAAGUAGGAGUUUUAUGUACUGUGUAUAU
rnacentral:sRNA from 1 species